rnacentral:tRNA from 4 species
GUGGUUGUAGCUCAGCGGUUAGAGCGCUCGGCUGUGGCCCGAGAGGUCGGGGGUUCAAAUCCCCUCAGCCACCCCA